AGGGAAACAGGUAAAGCGGCGAGUGCAAGGUGAUCGGUGGGUGACUGCCGAAGUGGAAUAUGCGAAAGGGUGGCUAAUACGCAUGUGAGAUCGCUCGAUUCAUUAAAGCAGUAAUGUGCUUCGAGAGGGGCCGGUCGAUUAGCUAGUNGGUGGGGUAAAGGCUACCAGGCGACGAUCGGUAGCUGGUCUAAGAGGAUGAUCAGCAACUGGGACUGCGACCGGCCAACUCCUACGGGAGGCAGCAGUUAGGAAUUUGGGCAUGGGCGAAGCCUGACCACAACGCCGCGUGGGUGAUGAAGGCUUCGGGUCGUAAAGCCCUUUUUCACGGGAAGAUAAUGACGGUACCGUGAGAAUAAGCCCCGGCUAGCUACGUGCCAGCAGCCGCGGUAAUACGUAGGGGGCAAGCGUUGUCCGGAUUUAUUGGGCGUAAAGCGCGCGUUGGCGGCCGAGUGUGUCGUGCGUAAAAUCUCCCGGCUUAACUGGGAGGGGCCGUGCGAAACUGCUCAGCUUGAGGUCGGAAGGGGAAAGUGGAAUUCCGGGUGUAUUGGUGGAAUACGUAGAUAUCCGGAGGAACACCAGCGGCGAAGGCGGCUUUCUGGUCCGAUUCUGACGCUGAGGCGCGAAAGCGUGGGGAGCGAUCCGGAUUAGAUACCCGGGUAGUCCACGCCGUAAACGAUGAGUACUAGGUGUCGGGGGUAUCGACCCCCUCGGUGCCGGCGCUAACGCAUUAAGUACUCCGCCUGGGGACUACGGCCGCAAGGCUAAAACUCAAAGGAAUUGACGGGGCCCGCACAAGCAGCGGAGCGUGUGUUUAAUUCGAGCCACGCGAAGACCUACCUGGCUGACAUGUAUGUGUAGGAUCUGAAAGUGACCAAUACGCAGGACAUCCAGUCGCAUCAGCGCGGCCCUGUUGUUUUCU
rnacentral:rRNA from 1 species